ensembl:lncRNA
GUGGCAGAGAUUAAUUCAGUCCAACCCACAAAUCUGAUUGCCUGCAUUUGCAUAUUAAUAAGAAAAUCUCUCAAAUGUUUUAUUUUUUUUUCCUUUUCUUCAAGUGUUCUCUCUUUAACUUCGGCAGGUGCUGAGGCAGAAGAUGAUGCAGAAGACUGAUUUUAAAAAUGAGAGGAAAAAUCUGAUAUUUACAGCACUUGCAUCUGGCGAUCUGAGAAAUAUGCUGGAUGGCCCUGGUUUAAAUUCAAUUCUUCAACACAAGCCAUUUAUUAAGGAGUGAGGGCAGGCUAAGAGUGGAGACUGAGGUGGGUCUCAAUGAAUGAUGCGGUGAUAAGGAGGUCAGAUAUACCAGUGGGACAUCUCUGCUUGUAGAGCUUUAUGACUUUUUAAUGGAACUGCAGUCACUCCAGCCUGCUUCAAUCACAGCCAAUUAGCAGCUUCUGCUCGUUAACACUGCUCCCAACACUGCACUAAUUCGAGGUUAAUUUGGUUUGAUUGGGAAUUUUUUUAGAUCU